GGUCACAUCACAUUCAAACCAGCUCCCGUACGAUCACGGCAGUUAAGCAGCAUCGAGCCUGGUCAGUACCGAGAUGGGUGACCGCUUGGGAAUACCAGGUGCUGUAGG